UACAGAGGCCUCGAGCGUUAGGCGGGAUCACUGGGCUUAAAGCGUGUGUAGGCGGACUUCUAAGUACCUUGUGAAAUCCCACGGCUCACCCGUGGAACUGCUUGGUAUACUGGUUGUCUUGAGCCUUCUAGGGGCGAGUGGAACAAAUGGUGGAGCGGUGAAAUGCGUAGAUAUCAUUUGGAACGCCAAUGGUGAAAACAACUCGCUGGGGAAGUGCUGACGCUGAGACACGAAAGCCAGGGGAGCGAACGGG
rnacentral:rRNA from 1 species